UACGUAGGCAGCGAGCGUUGUUCGGAAUUACUGGGCGUAAAGAGUGUGUAGGCGGUGUUCCCAGUCUGUUGUGAAAUCUCCCGGCUUAACUGGGAGGGUGCAGCGGAAACUAGAAUGCUAGAGGGUGGGAGAGGUAAGCGGAAUUCCUGGUGUAGCGGUGAAAUGCGUAGAGAUGUGGAGGAACACCAGUGGCGAAGGCGACUCUUUGGUCUGUAACUGACGCUGAGGCGCGAAAGCGUGGGGAGCAAACAGG
rnacentral:rRNA from 1 species